UUGACCUCGGAUCAGGUAGGGAUACCCGCUGAACUUAAGCAUAUCAAUAAGCGGAGGAAAAGAAACCAACAGGGAUUGCCCUAGUAACGGCGAGUGAAGCGGCAACAGCUCAAAUUUGAAAUCUGGCUCU
rnacentral:rRNA from 2 species